rnacentral:rRNA from 1 species
AGUGAACGCUGGCGGCGUGCCUAACACAUGCAAGUCGAACGGGCUAGUGCUUCGCACUAGUCUCUUUCUGGGGUUGUUACUCUAAGGCUACCUGCUAAAGUUAUUGCUUUAAAGCAGGGGUUUUAGGAGACUUUCCCCGAAAGGGGCCAGUGCGGAGCACUGGCCAGUGGCGAACGGGUGAGUAACACGUGGGUAAUCUACCCUCGAGUGGGGAAUAAGCUUCCGAAAGGGGGUCUAAUGCCGCAUAACGUUUCAUAACGAUGGUUAUGAAACCAAAGCCCAAAAGGCGCUCGAGGAGGAGCCUGCGUCCUAUCAGCUUGUUGGCAGGGUAAUGGCCUACCAAGGCUAUGACGGGUAGCCGGCCUGAGAGGGUGUCCGGCCACACUGGAACUGAGACACGGUCCAGACUCCUACGGGAGGCAGCAGUGGGGAAUUUUGCGCAAGUGGGGAAACCUGACGCAGCGACGCCGCGUGAGGAUGACGGCCUCGGUGUAACGUACCUCGUCUAGAGGACGAAGACCGACGAAC